rnacentral:rRNA from 1 species
AGCCCGAGUUGAGAGACUGAUCGGGCCACAUUGGGACUGAGACACGGGCCCAAACGUCCUACGGGAGGCAGCAGUAGGGGGAAUCUUCCACAAUGGACGCAAAGUUUGAUGGAGCAAACGCCGCGUGAGUGAAGAAGGUUUUCGGAUCGUAAAAAGCUCUGUUGUUGGUGAAGAAGGAUAGAGGUAGUAACUGGCCCUUUAUUUGACGGUAAUCAACCCAGAAAGUCACGGGCUAACUACGUGCCCAGCAGCCGCGGUAAAU